GAUGAACGCUGGCGGCGUGCCUAAUACAUGCAAGUCGAGCGAACGGACGAGAAGCUUGCUUUUCUGAUGUUAGUGGCGGACGGGUGAGUAACACGUGGAUAACCUACCUAUAAGACUGGGAUAACUUCGGGAAACCGGAGCUAAUACCGGAUAAUAUUUUGAACCGCAUGGUUCAAAAGUGAAAGACGGUCUUGCUGUCACUUAUAGAUGGAUCCGCGCUGCAUUAGCUAGUUGGUAAGGUAACGGCUUACCAAGGCAACGAUGCAUAGCCGACCUGAGAGGGUGAUCGGCCACACGGGAACGGAGACACGGUCCAGACUCCUACGGGAGGCAGCAGUAGGGAAUCUUCCGCAAUGGGCGAAAGCCUGACGGAGCAACGCCGCGUGAGUGAUGAAGGUCUUCGGAUCGUAAAACUCUGUUAUUAGGGAAGAACAUAUGUGUAAGUAACUGUGCACAUCUUGACGGUACCUAAUCAGAAAGCCACGGCUAACUACGUG
rnacentral:rRNA from 1 species